GUACACUUCCUUUUCUCGAUUGAAAGUGGGAAGAUAAUUUGAAAUUUGAAAUGACUCUAGCUAUAGUUUUGUGUUGUCGUUUAUGGAUAUAUGUUCCUGGUUUAGCUGCCUAUAUUACCUUAACAAUAGUUGGAAUUAACUCAGAAGUUUCAGGGAAAAAUGAAAAACAUUAAACCUUCCCUUACCCUUGCUAACAUAUAGUAGCAUAUUCUACUAGUGCAUUUUCUGUUGUGGCAACUCAAACACAGAAUGUAAUUGCAGCUUAUUGAUGUUGGCUGCUUUGUCUGCUUCGAUUCAUUUCUUUCAUUUAUUAACUAGCAUGCCAACAAGAAUCAUGAUGACCAUUUGGAAGCUUCUAAAGACAAGGCAUUUCAAGAGGUUGUCUGCUAUGGAAUUAUCACUUUUUGGUUGCUUUCUUAUUAUGAGUUGUGGAGUCAUUCUUCUGCAGCAGACAGAUAUCAGCUUAAUAUAUCAUAUGAUCCGUGGUCAAGGAACAAUCAAAUUAUAUGCGGU